GAUGAAGAACGCAGCGAAACGCGAUAUGUAAUGUGAAUUGCAGAAUUCAGUGAAUCAUCGAAUCUUUGAACGCACAUGGCGCCUUCCAGUAUCCUGGGAGGCAUGCCUGUCCGAGCGUCGUUUCAACCCUCGAGCCCCCGUGGCCCGGCGUUGGGGAUCUGCCACGGCAGGCCCCUAAAACCAGUGGCGGACCCGAAGGCCCUCUCCUUUGCGCAGUAGCAUCAGCCUCGCAUUGGGAUCCCUCGGCGUCCUGCCUCUAAACCCCCCACAAGUCCGCUCCGGCGGCACCAAGGUUGACCUCGGAUCAGGUAGGAAUACCCGCUGAACUUAAGCAUAUCAUAAGCGGAGGA
rnacentral:misc_RNA from 1 species